rnacentral:lncRNA from 1 species
AGCUGACCUAUGGGCUCCAACAUAAUCAGCAUCCUUGAUUCCAUCUAAAGUCUCUCCUAACCUUUGGAAAUGACUUUUUGGAGAGGUUCAACAUAGAGAUGAAAAACAGGAACUGCUUGGACAGCACCCUGAAGGCAGCAGUUAUCUAUAGAAGAGAGGAGGAAGUACAAAGGACCAAUGAAGAAGAAAGCAGAGCAAUGGAUGGGCUUGUGGUAAGUCACCACCUAUCUGGGUUGGAAGAAAUCCAGAUUCAAAUUUCCUUCAUCUUACCGAGGAGGAGAAAGCCAGAUGUUGGGACGGGGAUAAAGGAGAAAAGAGGACAACAGUUUUAUGGACCAUUCCGCACACUAAGGCUCAUCUGAGUUCCUCAUAAUCUGUCCUUUCUGCUCAGACAGGGGUUUUGAGGUGGGUGUUUGACAUUUAGGAAUGAGCCAGGUUACCCAAUCUGUC